GGACGGAAGGCAAAAGCUGAGACAAAAAACAGAACAGUUCGCUCACGAAAUAGAGGCUUCUUAUCACACAUGCAACGGAAAAUUUAGGGUUCUUUACAAAUCACUAAUUCUUGAACUCAGAAUCAAUUGGUUAACGGGUAUAAAUUGGACUGGGGCCUACGUAUUUGCUCGAGAAGUUUUGAGGCGAGCAGGCUACGAGUUAGGGCUUCCUUCUCUUCGAGUGUUAUUGGUGAGCUCCGCUUUUGUUCGUGGAGUAUUCCUUAGAGUCAUUUUUAUUUAGCUAUUUCUUUGUUUACUUAGAGAACUGACCAGGAAAUCUCAUGUCCCGAGCAGUGCGUCAGUUUAUCAGUAGAUGCUUCAUAGACAUAGUUGUUGGGUUAAGAUUCGAAUGUUUUUUUAAUAAUAACUUAGCAGUAAUUCAGUAGUUACUACGAAUAAAGUUUUGGAGAUGAUUUAUUUAAAUAUUUAAAUUAGUCAAAAGUAUUUGAUUAGAGUAUUGCCUUGUUACAUAUAAAGU